rnacentral:rRNA from 1 species
CCUACGGGAGGCAGCAGUGGGGAAUUUUGCGCAAUGGGGGCAACCCUGACGCAGCAACGCCGCGUGAGUGAUGAAGGCCUUCGGGUCGUAAAGCUCUGUCAGAGGGGAAGAAAUGCAGGUGGUGAACAACCAUUCUGUUUGACGGUACCCUCAAAGGAAGCACCGGCUAACUCCGUGCCAGCAGCCGCGGUAAUACGGAGGGUGCGAGCGUUGUCCGGAUUUACUGGGUGUAAAGGGUGCUCAGGCGGGUUUGUAAGACAGGGGUAAAAUCCCAGAGCUUAACUCGGGAACUGCCUUUGAUACUGCAGAUCUCGAGUUUGGGAGAGGCGAGUGAAAUAUCUGGUGUAGCAGUAAAAUGCGUAGAUAUCAGAUAGAACACCAAUGGCGAAGGCAGCUCGCUGGACCGAUACUGACGCUGAGACGCGAAAGCGGGGGGAGCAAACAGGAUUAGAUACCCCGGUAGU